rnacentral:rRNA from 1 species
GAUGAACGCUGGCGGCGUGCCUAAUACAUGCAAGUCGAACGGACAGACGAUGAUCUUGCGGCUCGCACGUUAGCGGCGGACGGGUGAGUAACACGUGUAUAACCUACCUAUAAGACUGGGAUCACUUCGGGAAACCGGAGCUAAUCCCGGAGAAUAUCUUGCACCGCAUGGUUCAAUAGUGAAAGACGGUUUUGCUGUCACUUAUCGAUGGAUCUGCGCCGGAUUAGCUAGUUGGUAAGGUCACGGGCUAUCAAGGCUACGAUGCGUAAACGACCUCAGAGGGUGGUAGGCCACACUGGAGCUGAGACACGGUCCAGACUCCUACGGGAGGCAGCAGUAGGGAAUCUUCCGCAAUGGGCGAAAGCCUGACGGAGCAACGCCGCGUGAGUGAUGAAGGUCUUCGGAUCGUAAAACUCUGUUAUUAGGGAAGAACAAAUGUGUAAGUAACUAUGCACGUCUUGACGGUACCUAAUCAGAAAGCCACGGCUAACUACGUG